GACGAACGCUGGCGGCGUGCUUAACACAUGCAAGUCGAACGGAAAGGCCCUGCUUGCAGGGUACUCGAGUGGCGAACGGGUGAGUAACACGUGGGUGAUCUGCCCUGCACUUCGGGAUAAGCUUGGGAAACUGGGUCUAAUACCGGAUAGGACCGCACUUUAGUGUGUGUGGUGGAAAGUUUUUUCGGUGUAGGAUGAGCUCGCGGCCUAUCAGCUUGUUGGUGGGGUAAUGGCCUACCAAGGCGGCGACGGGUAGCCGGCCUGAGAGGGUGUACGGCCACAUUAGGACUGAGAUACGGCCCAGACUCCUACGGGAGGCAGCAGUGGGGAAUAUUGCACAAUGGGCGCAAGCCUGAUGCAGCGACGCCGCGUGGGGGAUGAAGGCCUUCGGAUUGUAAACUCCUUUCGCUAGGGACGAAGCUUUGUUGUGACGGUACCUAGAUAAGAAGCACCGGCUAACUACGUG
rnacentral:rRNA from 1 species